rnacentral:SRP_RNA from 1 species
GCUGGGUGUGGUGGCGGGCACCUGUAGUCCCAGCUACUCGGGAGGCUGAGGCAGGAGAAUCGCUUGAACCCAGGAGGCGGAGCUUGCAGUGAGCCGAGAUCACGCCACUGCCGUUCCGGCCUGGGCGACAGAGCGAGACUCUGUCUCAA